ACAUUGUCACCAUUAAUGAUCUGAUACAUAAACAAAGAUAUACCUUUACUACAGGUCAAGACAACGGUUCUACCAGAACAAGGACGCAUGCAAUACGUUCACAGCAACUAAAAACUAUGUAAGAGAUUAGUUUCACAGCAUUUGAAAUGACAAUCAAAUAGUCUCUGAGUUACAAAACAUAUGGAAAACUAUUGUAGAAAAAAGUAUUAAAAACAAAUCAUCCAUCUUUGUUAAACUUUCAGGAAGAAAUGGAUUGUGGUGAUCAUCUCUGGGAAAA
rnacentral:misc_RNA from 1 species